GGAUGAUUUGCAAUCAAAUAAAAACUCACUAUCUACCGGCACCAGUGAUGUGUUUCUUUUCUUCUUUGUGAAAUGAGUUGAAUUAGAGCAAGCAGUCAGAUUAAAAAAAGCAAUCAAAUCUAACGGCAAGAAGGAGAGGUAGAUGGAAAUGGGUGGGUUUGGUUGAUGGGUUCUGAUUUUGGUUUUGAUGCUUGAUGAAUUGAAUUGGGUUCGUGCUUGAUGAUCUUCUUCUAAGUGCGUUGAUGACUUGAAUUGGGUGCUUUGUUUUAUUUUAUUUUGUUUUCUCUUUUUAUCAUAGAUGGGUUUGCCGUACGAGGGAAAGAGUUGGCAUAGGAAUUCUUUAAUUUAGUUGUAAAAUUUUAUGAAUUAAUUAAUUAAUUAAUUUUAACAUUAUUUAGAAACUUCAAAGUAAUUUAUCCCAAUCAAUUACCUUAAUUAAAGAAUUUAUU
rnacentral:misc_RNA from 1 species